rnacentral:tRNA from 1 species
GCCUGGGUGGCUCAGUCGGUUAAGCAGCUGACUUCAGUUCAGGUCAUGAUCUCAUGGUUUGUGGGUUCAAGCCCCACAUCGGGCU